UCGUAAACUUAAAUAAUCCUAAAACAAGAUUAUUCGCCAGAGUACUAUCGGCAACAGCCCAAAACUCAAAGGACUUGGCGGUGCUUCAUAUCCUUCUAGAGGAGCCUGUUCUGUAAACGAUAAACCACGAUUAACCUCACCAAUCCUUGCUACUUCAGUCUAUAUACCGCCAUCUUCAGCAAACCCUAAAAAGGAACGAAAGUAAGCACAACUACUCACGUAAAAACGUUAGGUCAAGGUGUAACCUAUGGAUUGGGAAGAAAUGGGCUACAUUUUCUAUAAUAAGAACACCCCUUAAACUCACACGAAAGUUUUUAUGAAACCUAAAAACUAAAGGAGGAUUUAGCAGUAAAUUAAGAAUAGAAUGCUUAAUUGAAUAAGGCCA
rnacentral:rRNA from 1 species